GAACGAGAAAGGGGCUUCGGCCCUGAGUAAAGUGGCGCACGGGUGAGUAACACGUGACUAACCUACCCUUGAGCGGGGGAUAACCUAGGGAAACCUGGGCUAAUACCGCAUACGACCUACGGGUGAAAGCGAGCAAUCGCACUUAAGGAGGGGGUCGCGGCAGAUUAGCUAGUUGGUGAGGUAAUGGCUCACCAAGGCGAUGAUCUGUAUCCGGCCUGAGAGGGCGCACGGACACACUGGAACUGAAACACGGUCCAGACUCCUACGGGAGGCAGCAGUGGGGAAUUUUGCGCAAUGGGGGAAACCCUGACGCAGCAACGCCGCGUGGAGGAUGAAGACCCUUGGGUCGUAAACUCCUUUCGAUCGGGACGAUAAUGACGGUACCGGAAGAAGAAGCCCCGGCUAACUUCGUGC
rnacentral:rRNA from 1 species